rnacentral:rRNA from 1 species
CGGGACAUGCGUAGAGAUGUGGAGGACCACCAGUGGCGAAGCGACUCUUUGGUCUGUAACUGACGCUGAGGCGCGAAAGCGUGGGGAGCAAACAGGAUUAGAUACCNUGGUAGUCCACGCUGUAAACGAUGAGUGNUAAGUGUUAGAGGGUUUCCGCCCUUUAGUGNUGCAGNUAACGCAUUAAGCACUCCGCNUGGGGAGUACGGCCGCAAGGNUGAAACUCAAAGGAAUGACGGGGAACCCGCACAAGCGGUGGAGCAUGUGGUNUAAUUCGAAGCAACGCGAAGAACCUUACCAGGUCUUGACAUCCUCUGACACUCCUAGAGAUAGGACGUUCCCCUUCGGGGGACAGAGUGACAGGUGGUGCAUGGUUGUCGUCAGCUCGUGUCGUGAGAUGUUGGGUUAAGUCCCGCAACGAGCGCAACCCUUGAUCUUAGUUGCCAGCAUUCAGUUGGGCACUCUAAGGUGACUGCCGGUGACAAACCGGAGGAAGGUGGGGAUGACGUCAAAUCAUCAUGCCCCUUAUGACCUGGGCUACACACGUGCUACAAUGGAUGGUACAAAGGGCUGCAAAACCGCGAGGUCGAGCCAAUCCCAUAAAACCAUUCUCAGUUCGGAUUGUAGGCUGCAACUCGCCUACAUGAAGCUGGAAUCGCUAGUAAUCGUGGAUCAGCAUGCCACGGUGAAUACGUUCCCGGGUCUUGUACACACCGCCCGUCACACCACGAAAGUUUGUAACACCCAAAGUCGGUGGGGUAACCGUAAGGAGCCAGCCGCCUAAGGUGGGACAGAUGAUUGGGGUGAAGUCGUAACAAGGUAAAUCGAAUUCCCGCGGCC